rnacentral:rRNA from 1 species
GAGGAAUAUUGGUCAAUGGGCGCGAGCCUGAACCAGCCAAGUCGCGUGAAGGAUGACUGUCUUAUGGAUUGUAAACUUCUUUUAUACGGGAAUAACAAGAGUCACGUGUGGCUCCCUGCAUGUACCGUAUGAAUAAGCAUCGGCUAACUCCGUGCCAGCAGCCGCGGUAAUACGGAGGAUGCGAGCGUUAUCCGGAUUUAUUGGGUUUAAAGGGUGCGUAGGCGGCCUGUUAAGUCAGCGGUGAAAUCUAGGAGCUUAACUCCUAAAUUGCCAUUGAUACUGGCGGGCUUGAGUGUAGAUGAGGUAGGCGGAAUGCGUGGUGUAGCGGUGGAAUGCAUAGAUAUCACGCAGAACUCCGAUUGCGAAGGCAGCUUACUAAGGUACAACUGACGCUGAAGCACGAAAGCGUGGGUAUCAAACAGGAUUAGAUACCCUGGUAGUCCACGCAGUAAACGAUGAUAACUGGGCGUAUGCGAUAUACAGUAUGCUCCUAAGCGAAAGCGUUAAGUUAUCCACCUGGGGAGUACGCCGGCAACGGUG